GGGGGCGCGCACGCGGGGCUGCGGGGCGAGGCGCGGGGCCCGGGCGGCGAAUCCGCUGCUCGCGCCUCCCGCCCCGCCCGCGCGCGCCCGCCCCGGGAGGAGGGUGCGCGGCGGAGGCGCGGGGGGGGGGGGGGGGGGGGGGGGGGGGAGUCGAGGAGGGGCCGCGCCCGGUCCUCGCCCGCAGCGGGCACCGCCGGGGGCCCCGGGAGGCCUUGUUGGUAUUCCGGGCACAGCAGAAGCCCUGACCUCCCCGCGGAACAGGGGCGCCCGGGAGCGCGGCGCGGCCGCCGCCCCCGGGCGGUCUCCCCGGACUGCGGGGCCGUAGGCGCCUUGCUCCCCCUCCUCCCUGUCCCCUCCUCUCCAGGUCCCCCGUACCCCCUCCCCCGGCCUGAUCCGGCGGCGAAGGGGUGGGCAGGGAAACGCGCUCUCUGGGACAGGUGCCAACUCCGAGACAAAAGACAUAAAAUAGGCGGCAACGGGGGAAGCGCGGCCGGCGCGCUCGGGCGGGGACGGAGGCGCCGCGGGGGCCGCAUCCUCGGUGCCGACCGGGGAAAGUUUGGGAAGUCGCCGCGGCGGCUUCGCAGCGGCGGGGGACACGCGGGCCGGGCCGCCCUCCGCGCCGCGCUCGCCCUCUCCGCGCCGCUGCUGAAUAAUUCAUGGCGCGGCCGCCGGCCAUUAGCAUGCACCGGGCGCGCGGCGCGUCUGUGCCCAGCCGUCGCCGCCGCAUUCGGCGCCCCGGCCGCGCUAGACGAGCGGCCGCGCAGAGGCCGGGCCCGCGCCGUCCCCGCGCUCGCCCGCCCGUCCGCCCGUCCGCCCACCCGGCGGCUCCCAUUGUGCCCCAGGCCCGCGCCGCUCCGCCGUCCUGUGACCGCCUGCGCCCCGCAGCGCGCCCGACGGCCGGCCGCUGGAAGUUCGGGCCCGCGGCGCACGCCCUGCCGCCCCGGGAUGCACGUGAACUUGGAGAAAGUCUCGGGGCGCGCCGGCGCAGACCUCCGCGGCUGGGCGUGGGCGCCCCUGGCCCCGCGCGCUUUCGUUUUCGUCUGGGACAAAGGUCCCUCGCGGCGCAGGUCGCGGACGUGGAGGCAGUGCCCUGCGGGCCACUCAGCGGGGAGGUCCGGUCGUUCAGUCAAGGGAAGCCGGAGCCUGGAGAAGACGAGCCGCGCGGUCGGAGGCGCGGUGCGGGACCAGGACAGUGGGGCCUGGCCGUGCGCUUCGCCCUGGCGGUCCAGGAGCUGUCUCGCCCUCCGAAGAGUUACGGGAGGUGGCACUGCUUUUGCUCUCUGCCCUUUCGACACGUGAAGGAGAGAAUCAUUCGGAACCCAGGACUCAGACCGGUGGCCGAGGGCCUGUGCAGCCGCGAGCACGACAGCGCAGCGCUGGCCGCGUCCGCGCGCGUUCCUCCGACAAGGGCAGAGCAGUCGACCAGCGCGCCCCAGUCUCGAUCGGGUUCAAGGCGACUCUUGAGGACGGUGGCUGACACACGGGCCCAGCCGGCAGCCCUGGGGAAUUUGUGGGGAGCAAGAAAGGGGUGA
rnacentral:lncRNA from 1 species